UAUAUAGGUGGUUAUUAGGUUGAUUUUAAAUUAAAUUAGGUUAAGGAUAAGUUAAUCAUUUCCACACUUUAGGACACCCCUUAUAACUACAGGGUGAUAUUCUUAUCACAUAGUAGUCCCCCACCAAAAAAAAAAAAGAUAGUGCCCAAAAAAUAGUUAUUUCUUUCGGUUGACAUUAGGCUUAGAACUUAGAAAGUCCAUGUAUCGAAAGCCCAUCAAAAACUGAACGCACAUAUAUAAUUUUUGUCGAGAACAGUUGUAGCCUUGUGUUGGCAGAGAGACGAGACACAUAAAAUCAGAUUUUCUCUUUUGAUUAAGACGCAGAUAUAGCUUGACGUCACUUUUCAAUGGAAUUACAACAUAAAUGCUCAUAUGGAACCGAAUGUUUUGAAAUGGCCAGAAAGAUAGCCGAACAAAGGGAUACAGGCCGUAAACGUACCGAGGAGGAAGUGCAGGAGGAUAUUCGCACGUCUGUACGGGAAGUUGCGCGCAUGCUUACUCAGGCAAGACUCAGUUUGAAUAUGCAAAGAAGACAGGAACAUAGAUUUCGGUGGGGGAAUCAGUCUGAGAGAAUAAUGAAGUAUCAGAAGAAGAAGAACUGGUAAGUGUAUAUUCGUGGACGACUGAGGAUGAGCUUAAACAUGAAAUAUCAAACACCAAAACACUGCUGUGGGAGAAAGAGGCCAAUGUUAUAACUUUAGCUGGCCUCAAAAUCUUUCCCAAGAUAGGAAAACGAGUUGGAAAGUCCAGUAUUGGCACCCUUGAAGUCCAUGCAAACGGGUUCUACUAUGUCAGUCCCAAUUUCUGUUUUACUUUCUUUUACGCAGAUGUACAGAAAGUUUUAUUUUGUGUUGGAGA